CCCUACGGGAGGCAGCAGUGGGGAAUAUUGCACAAUGGGCGCAAGCCUGAUGCAGCCAUGCCGCGUGUGUGAAGAAGGCCUUCGGGUUGUAAAGCACUUUCAGCGAGGAGGAAGGUGGUGAACUUAAUACGUUCAUCAAUUGACGUUACUCGCAGAAGAAGCACCGGCUAACUCCGUGCCAGCAGCCGCGGUAAUACGGAGGGUGCAAGCGUUAAUCGGAAUUACUGGGCGUAAAGCGCACGCAGGCGGUUUGUUAAGUCAGAUGUGAAAUCCCCGGGCUCAACCUGGGAACUGCAUUUGAAACUGGCAAGCUAGAGUCUCGUAGAGGGGGGUAGAAUUCCAGGUGUAGCGGUGAAAUGCGUAGAGAUCUGGAGGAAUACCGGUGGCGAAGGCGGCCCCCUGGACGAAGACUGACGCUCAGGUGCGAAAGCGUGGGGAGCAAACAGGAUUAGAUACCCCGGUAGUC
rnacentral:rRNA from 1 species